GAUUAAUUGAUGUAUAUUGUAUGUUAAAUUAAAAAUGAACAUGAAUAAGAUAAUAAUAAGUAAUAUUUUGUUUUUAUUUAAUAUAAAAUAAUUAAAAGAAUUCACUCAAUAUUUUACAUCUAAUAAGAAUUGAUAAAAUUUUAUUAAUAGAAUAUAUUUAUUAAAAAUUAAUUUUUUUUAAUUAGUAAUAUUCUUAUUAAAUGAGUAAAGAAAAACACUUCACUUUUGAUAAAUACUUUAAUUAAUUUUUUUAAUUAAAGAUUUUCUUUAUUUUUCAUUAAGGAUUAUUUGAUUCUAAUGAAAAAUAGCUUAAAAAAGUUAAAACUUGUUUUGGUUUUAGGAAAAGUUAAUGGUAAAUUAAUAAUCUUUUAUUGAAUAUAAUUAAUUUAAUUAUAAUUAUUAAUAUCUUUGUGGGAAUUAAUUUUUUUAUUUAAUUGCUUUUCUUUAUUAAGAUAAUUUAUAAAUAGACUAUUAAUUUUUUAUUAAUUAUAGAAAUAUAAUACUAGUGUUUAAUUACUUCUGAAAAGAGAUAUAUUUUUAAAACUUGUUGUUUACUAUUUAAUUCUUUCCUAAUAAAGGACAGUAUAAUUAUUUAUUAUGUAAAUUUUUAAAUAAUUAUAAAUAAUUAUUCUUAAUUAUUUGUAUUAAAAGUUAUUUAAUACAAUGUUUAGUAUUUAAAAAUUAA
rnacentral:rRNA from 1 species